rnacentral:misc_RNA from 1 species
GAUGAAGAACGCAGCGAAAUGCGAUAAGUAAUGUGAAUUGCAGAAUUCAGUGAAUCAUCGAAUCUUUGAACGCACAUUGCGCCCGCUGGUAUUCCGGCGGGCAUGCCUGUUCGAGCGUCAUUUCAACCCUCAAGCUCUCCGGAGUUUGGUGUUGGGGCGCCUGGGGCUUUUCGACCUCAGGGCCCUCAAGUCCAUCGGCGGGACCGCCAGGACACUGAGCGCAGUAGUAUUAUUUCGCUCGGUAGGAUCUUCCACGGCGGGUCGAUCUGGCCGCUAAACCCCCCAAUUCUCACCAAAGGUUGACCUCGGAUCAGGUAGGAAUACCCGCUGAACUUAAGCAUAUCAAUAAGCGGAGA